GGGGCCAUGGCUCAGCAGAAGAGCUUCUGCUUGACAUUCAGAAGGUCCAGGUUCAAUCCCUGGCAUCUCCG
rnacentral:tRNA from 1 species